ensembl:lncRNA
CCAUUAGAGGGCCGCUCCUCAACAAGAUGGAAGAGGAUGCCCCAGUCACUGCCACCGAGACUGGAGUACUGAAUAUAAAUGAAGCUUCCGAAGGGCUUGGACUCAGUACAGAUUAAGCAUGUUCAAAAUACUCAGAAAGAUGGAGUGACAUGUCUGAUUGGUAAAUCUGAGAACAACCUGGCAUGCCGUCCUCUGCCCUUAUCCUCAGGAGCAGCCUUCCUGCUGAAUUCCUCCUUUCCCUGCAUUACAGAGGAGCUUCCCCACCAUGUGCAAGAGGCAUAUCCCAGUGACUGCCACCAAGACUGGGUAGAUAAGCCUGUCUCCUUAUGAUGUUCACCGGAAACGAGUAACUUGGCUAAUAAACUUCAAGUCUUCCCUCAGGUGUCUAAAG